CAGACCGCGAGCUCCUACGGGAAGAGUGCCCCGAUCUCGUGUCCCCCAGAAACACCACUUCUUUCCCUGUCAGAGUCUGUGCCGCCCGCCUGGACCGCCCACCGUCGGUCAAACAUCAGCGAGCCGGAAUGUGAGCUCCAGGAGGGCACCAGCUCACUGCUGUAUCCCCAACACCCAGAACGUGGCACAUUGUGGGCACCCCAUGAGUAUUGAUAAAAUGAAUUCUGUGGGAAUGUGUUUUUGAAAGGAAAAAGCUAAAUAAAUGCAUCCUGAAGGAACAAACGAGAAGCCGUUUUAUAACAACAACAACAACAACAACAAAAAUACAAAAGCCAGGCGUGGUGGCUCACACCUGUAAUCCUAGCACUUUGGGAGGCUGAGGUGGGUGGAUCACCUGAGGUCAGGAGUUCAAGACCAGCCUGGCCAUCAUGGUGAAACCUCAUCUUAAAAAAAAAAAAAAAAAAAGUAAAAAAAAAAAAAUACAAAAAACAAAACAAAACGAAAGAAGCCAUUUUAUUUGCAUGUCCUGGGGUUAGUAGAGGCAAUGGACAGUGUAACGUCUCAAAGCGUAGCAAACAACUUAGCAGCCUGGGAAUGCUGGCUGAUUGAAAGAGGAGACUGUCAUCAAACCAAGCCUUUACCA